rnacentral:rRNA from 1 species
GUCGAGGGGCAGCGGGUAGAUGAGCUUGCUCAUUUAUGCCGGCGACCGGCGCACGGGUGAGUAACACGUAUGCAACCUACCCGUCUCAGGGGGAUAAUCGUCGGAAACGGCGUCUAAUACCCCGUAUGAAGCUGGACGGCAUUGUCUGGUUUUGAAAGAAUAUCGGAGACGGAUGGGCAUGCGGCGCAUUAGCUGGUUGGCGGGGUAACGGCCCACCAAGGCAACGAUGCGUAGGGGUUCUGAGAGGAAGGUCCCCCACACUGGUACUGAGACACGGACCAGACUCCUACGGGAGGCAGCAGUGAGGAAUAUUGGUCAAUGGGCGAGAGCCUGAACCAGCCAAGUCGCGUGAGGGAGUACUGCCCUAUGGGUUGUAAACCUCUUUUGUCGGGGAGCAAAAGCCGGACGUGUCCGUCUGUGAGAGUACCCGAAGAAAAAGCAUCGGCUAACUCCGUGCCAGCAGCCGCGGUAAUACGGAGGAUGCGAGCGUUAUCCGGAUUUAUUGGGUUUAAAGGGUGCGCAGGCGGAUUUUUAAGUCAGCGGUCAAAUCGUGGGGCUCAACCCCAUCCAGCCGUUGAAACUGGGGAUCUAGAGUGUGCGAGAGGUAUGCGGAAUGCGUGGUGUAGCGGUGAAAUGCAUAGAUAUCACGCAGAACCCCGAUUGCGAAGGCAGCAUACCGGUGCGCAACUGACGCUCAGGCACGAAAGCGUGGGUAUCGAACAGGAUUAGAUACCCUGGUAGUCCACGCAGUAAACGAUGAAUGCUACCUGUUUGGCCAGAUUGGUGGCUGAGCGGGACAGCGAAAGCGU